GGGUCGUUAGCUCAGUUGGCAGAGCAGUUGGCUUUUAACCAAUUGGUCGUAGGUUCGAAUCCUACACGACCCACCA
rnacentral:tRNA from 2 species